UGUUUUAUUAUUAGAUAUCAGGCGUGCCGAUUAGAUUUCCGAAUUUGUAGGUACACUGCAAUACCCAACGAUGUCCGUAUGUUUCGUUAUUUCAGUAUUUUACUAAAAUGAUAACAUGACAUAUUUCAGCGGGACGGAUAGUAUGACCGCAUCGGGUUUUAUUUUUAUUUUUAGGAAGAUUAGAAGUCUUCGAUACAUACAUUGUAAUACGGAUUUGAAAUUUUUAAUGUCACGGUAGUCGAAAGCGCAACAAGACUCACAUUUUCUUAAACGGAAGUGUUUAUUUUCAACACAAGAUACCAAUAGUCCAAUUUCUAAACAACAUUGACAAAUAAUACGAUAUGUUCCUGUUACAAAAAUUUACUGGGA